rnacentral:lncRNA from 1 species
GAGCAGGGGAGGAAAGGUCUUGAGGGAGCAGCACGCUUGCCUGAUGGGUGCCCAAAGCCAGGGGCAGGUGGAGGUGAGAGAAGGACAAGCUCUGCAAACGUUGCGGAAGCGCUCUGUCCAUGGAGAAGGCACAGGACUUCCAUGUGGGGAGCAGCUUACUCCUGCUGAGAACUUUGGGGAGACAGAGUGGAGCAGCCAUCUCAGACCUGAGCGGCUAAGGAGCUGGGUCCCCCUCUGUCGCACUGUGCAGAGCUGCUGGACUUUGCAGUAAGCAGCCUUCAGGUCUAAAGGCUCCACAUUGUAAGGAAGCCCAGUCACAUGGACAGACCAUAUGGGUCCAGUUGGCUGCCCCAGCCAAGGUUUCAGCCAACAGCCAAGAUUACCCACAGCCACGUGUAUGAAUGAGCCUUCAAAUGAGUCCAGCACCCAGCAGAAUAAUGCCCCCUCCCGUCUCACAAAGAUUUCCAUGCCCUAAUUCCUGGAACCUGUGAAUCUGCUACAUCACAUGGCAAGCAGAGCUGGCAGAUGGAAUUUAGGGUGUGGAGCUUGAGGUGGGGAGGGCAGCCUGGAUUACACAGGUGGGCCCUAUCUAAGCACAUGAGCCCUUAUACAAGCAAAGAACAUUUCCUCAGCUGCCAGACAGCUGGCAAACAGAAUUGGAGGGGCAGAGAGAUGUAAUCAGAAAGGGCAGAAGAGACUUAAAAGGAAGAGAGGCUCGACCUGCUGUGGCUACCUUUGAAAAUGGAGGAAUGGGGCUCCAAGCCAAGGGAUGCAGGCUGCCUCUUCAUUGGAGUACUGCCAGCAAGAAAACAGCCCAGCAAUUGCAAGGAAAUUAAUUUUCCCAACAGUCUGAAUGAGCAAGAAAAUGGACUCUCCCCUGCCACGCCCUGAGUUCAGCCUUGUGAGACUCUAAGCAGAUACCCACUCAAGCCCACAGGACGUCCAACCCAUAACAAUUGUAAGAUAAUAAACUGGGAUAGUUUUA